GUAUCUGCAGGUGACCUUGCUCCUGCAUCUGUCAUCCCCCCCCCCCCCAUUGCCAGGUGGAUUCUCUGAUUGGGCUGGCUGGCAGGGAGCCCUUCCUCCCUCACCCCUCCACCUGUGUCCCUCGAAGCCUCACCUUCUCCAAACAGGGACCCUUCUCGGGUCCAGAGUAUAUGAGGAAUGUGCUUUGCUGCUAGAACUUCCAGAAUAGCUUUCGAGGAGAGCAACUUUUCUUUUAAUCAGGAAACAACUAUUCUGUUGGAUGUGAUU
rnacentral:sRNA from 1 species